GUUGAAACACCGUUUCCCUUAUGAUUACCGAAGUUAAGCAACGGCGAUCCUGGUCAGUACCUAGAUGAGUGACGGCUUGGGAAUAUCAGGU